GCAAUCUAUUUCACUUUACUGCAAUGCAAUCUUCUGGUCAAAUGCAGGAAUUUAUUCGACCUUGACCCUCACAGUGCAUUAUGGGUAUUCUCUAGCCAUUUAGUGUAAAUUGUCUGACACUCAUUAUUGCGGUGCAUUAUGGAAUUGAAUGAGUGCACUCGAUAAUGUCCAAUUUGGUUUCAGACACAACAACAAAUGGCUGUCUGCACAAAUAGUGGCCUAUUUAAAGGUUUAGGCUUAGUAUAUUCAUUCUUUCAAUACAGCUAAGAGUUCAUGUGUGACACACACGAGUCUUCUAUUGGUCACAUGUAACUUAUUCAUGUGAACUGAAUUUGUAGAGCAGAGUUCACUAAACGUGAAGCAAAAUUCGCAUGCACUUGUGUUUUGCAUGCUUAACUUGUGGUCACAUUUAAUGUAGUUCAGCAAAUUUUCGCAGCUGAGAUCCUGUCAGUUUAAUAAAAAUUCACGCAGUCGUGCAUUUCACACAUGGGAGAAAGAUUUACUCCACGCAGGUUUUGCAGCAGGUUCAGAUUGGGACUUCUUUUUGAGCUGUGCUUUAAAAAUUGCUCCACAAAAUUUCGCUAAUGUGACUGCAUCUUCAUCGGUGGAAGUCAAUGGAAUGAAUAUUGUAGUGUGACUGCACUGCUUUCCAGAAAAUGAUUUGCGCUUAAGAUACGCUCAAAUUUAUUGUUGGGCUGCGAAAUUGCACUCGCAAAUUCCAUAUAUUUCAAUAGUCUCUGUGCAAGUGCAAAAAAGUUCCCCAAGCAGAUUUUCCUCAUGUUCAAGUUGCUCACGUGAAUUCUCCAUGCUCACCAACAGAUCACUGCUUUGUUUGAAAGUGACUGUGUGAGCUGUGCUUUAUACAGAAAGACCGUUUACGCAAAAUUGCCGAAUUGCGGUAAAACAUUGCGGACAAAAAAUGGUCAAUUUUCCAUUUAAGCUUGUUUUUUUUUCUACAUGAUUAAUCGACAGCAUGUCCCUGAUACUGCCCGAUGUAUUUACCUGGAAUAUUCC
ensembl:lncRNA